GCCGGGGUGACGGAAUCGGUAGACGUAGCGGUCUCAAACACCGCCGCCGCAAGGCAUGGGGAUUCGACUUCCCCCCCCGGCACCA
rnacentral:tRNA from 5 species